ensembl:snRNA U6 U6 spliceosomal RNA
GUGGCUUGCUACGGCUGCACAUAUGCACAUAUAAGAUUAGCAUGGCCCCUGCGAAAGGAUGACACACAAAUCCGUGAAGCGCUCCAUAUUUUU